rfam:Ovis aries breed Texel chromosome 11, whole genome shotgun sequence.
UCCCUGGUGGUCCAGUGGUUAGGACUCCACACUUUCACUGCUGUGAAAUCCCUGGGUUCAAUCCCUGGUUGGGGAA